GGGAAACGGUAGUUCCUUACUGGUGCUUUUUUCCUUUGUUAUACAGAGGACUUUUGGCCUGAGAGGGCAGACUCCAGAAGACUUCACAGGGGCAUUGUCAUGUUGAGUUCAAUAGCUGCCACUCAGGACUAGAAGUCCAUGGUGAUCACCAGCAUCUUUAGCUACAUGUAUUGCUUAUGUCUGAUAGAACUUCACCCUUGGAUUGACUCACUUCUGUCUUUAUAACUUCUGAAAUUCCUGAGAUCUACUGGAGGAAAAACCACUCAACUAGAAUUUUAAAAUGCAUCUGGAUGUUAUCUGUAGUCCCAGCUACUCCAGAGGGUGAGGCAGGAGGAUCAUUUGAGCCCAGGAGUUGGAGGCUGCAGUAAGCUACAACAGAACACUGCACUUCAGCCUACAUGACAGAUGGAAAUUUCAUCUCUAAAAAUAAAACUGGCUCAGCGCCUGUGGCUCAAGCGGCUAACGCGCCAGCCACAUACACCUGAGCUGGCAGGUUUGAAUCCAGCCCAGGCUGGUCAAACAACAAUGACAGCUGCAACCAAAAAAAUAUCCACGCAUUGUGGCAGGCGCUUGUAAUCUCGGCUAUUCGGGAGGCGGAGGCAGGAGAAUCACUUGAGCCCAGGAGUUGGAGGUUGCCGUGAACUGUGAUGCCACGCCACUCUACCCAGGGUGACAGCUUGAGGCUCUGACUCAAAAAAAAAAUUUUUUUUAAAUAAAAUAAAUAAAAGUUAGGGCAGUGCAUGUGGCUCAGUGGGUAGG